GCCCGUCUCCACACACAGACUGUGGUCACUAAUGCGAUACUUUGUCAGGAGCUUUCUCUGACCAUAAUUACUGAUUUCAGUCAGCAUGGGGUCGCUCUCUGUGUGUCCUGCCCUGUAUCUGAGAGCGCAGUGAUGGUAACUCUCUGUCUGCGCGUCUGAUAGAUGGAACCAGAACUUCACGGCUCUCUUCUGGAUUUCAGAGAGCAGAGGGAAUCUGCCUAAUUCUGCCCGGCUUGGAGCGUUUCUCUCCUGCAGGAAUGGAAAGAUCAGCGG